UUCAGUUGGUUAGAGCGCGCGCUUGAUAAGCGUGAGGUCGGAAGUUCAAGUCUUCCCAGGCCCACCACACUCAUCGGGUAAGCAUUCGUCUUCUGGUUACGGGGCCAUAGCUCAGCUGGGAGAGCGCGUGCUUUGCAAGCAUGAGGUCGUCGGUUCGAUCCCGUCUGGCUCCACCAGAUGGUUUGAUCACCGACGCUGUGUUUGCAGCUAUUCAACCGUCGUCCGCGAAACAUCACUUCGCACCUACUAGUCUGGAUAGACAGUAGGUUGCGUGAUUUCUGACAUCGUAAAGAGGAGAUCGAUCCGAGUUGGAUCGGGCAGCAAGCAAUUGCUGCGCGAACCUUCAUUAUCUCCGGAUCAUUUCGGCGCUCGCGCGCCUUUCAAUGCGGCUCACAAGGCUGCGUCUGAGGGGAAUGCGGGUUGUAAAUGAUCCUUUUAGCGAAGCUUGACCGCCUCGCUAUCGGAACGAUCUUACGAAGCAAGCUGGUCUUUCUAAUCAUUGUCCGGCUGUACGUAGCGUUCAUCGAGGGCGCGUGCCGCAAGGCAAUCGUACAGACAACAUUCUGCCGAGUGUGUGGACAUUGAUAAUGAGAGCAAUCAAGUGCCUUAAGGGUGUUCGGUGGAUGCCUUGGCGCUGAGAGGCGAUGAAGGACGUGCUACGCUGCGAUAAGCCGUGGGGAGCUGCGAAGAAGCUUUGAUCCAUGGAUUUCCGAAUGG
rnacentral:misc_RNA from 1 species